rnacentral:rRNA from 1 species
ACGGGGGGGGCAAGCGUUGUUCGGAAUUACUGGGCGUAAAGCGUGCGCAGGCGGUGAGCUGUGUCCGAUGUGAAAGCCCCGGGCUUAACCUGGGAAUGGCAUUGGAAACUGGCUCGCUGGAGUGUGGCAGAGGGGGGUGGAAUUCCGCGUGUAGCAGUGAAAUGCGUAGAGUUGUGGAGGAACACCGAUGGCGAAGGCAGCCCCCUGGGCUGAGAUUGACGCUCAGGCACGAAAGCGUGGGGAGCAAACAGGA